GCGUGGCCCGGCCCGGCCUCGGGCGGGAAGCACCGGGACCCACCGGGACGCGGCCGGUUCGGGCGCCCCUGAGUGAGCCCCUUCCUGCAGGGCACGAGUUGCCCCCUGCGAGAGCAAGCGGGGGCUGCUGAGUUCGUGUCUUCUAAAACGCCGCGUGUCGGUUGGUGGCGUGCUUAGCACCAAUUAACGGCCCUGGUAAUUAGGUUUCAGCUGAGAGGCAACAGGUGUUAAGCAGGAUUGCCAUAUCCCAGCUGUGGCAGGUGCUUGUGUGGGUUUUUUUUUUGCUGAGAUCCAGUCCAGUGUAAAGUUAAAAAUGCCAGCAAGGUAUACAGCAAGGCUAACCUCCCUUCAAAUAUUAAAUACUGAUAUCUUACAUGCACAGAGAAGAGGCAUAACAUCUGUAACACCAUCAAGAAACAACUCUUAGCUGCCUUACUUCCAGGCACUUUUAUCUUUAUCACCAGCAGGAAUAAACUACAGACCUCGGUGAGGUGACAUGGAACAGAAGCAUUU